GAACGCAAAUUGCACUCUCUGGUAUUCCGGAGAGUAUGCCUGUUUGAGGGUCAGUUAAAUAAAAAUCGGUGUUGUUGCUGCCUUGCGUGGUGACGCAUCGGAUUUGGGUCGUCUUACCUUCGGUUAAGUGACCUAAAAUUUUGUAUGAUUUUUCGAACGUAUUUAAAUUAUUUACGUACGUUUGUGAUAUCGAACAUUAGGUGUGAUCAUUCUCAUGAUUCGCGCCUAUGAUUUCUCAUCAAAUGACCUCAAAUCAGGUAAGAGUACCCGCUGAACUUAAGC
rnacentral:misc_RNA from 1 species